ACUUUAUGUGACUGAUCACGUAAGGCAGCUAUGUGCAUCACACUCCUGCACAGUAGGUGACGGUAGUGCAGGAAGGGGUAGAGAAAGACGAACGUUACCCCUGGGAUUUGGGGAAACAUCGCCACCUAACGACCGCAUACAUGCCGGCCGCGUACGCAGAAAAGAACAUGGACAUGAACCUAGUCAACGAACGGGACUGCUACACUAUCAAGUAACAGCAUUUGGAUACAACAUUACAGGGCUAUAUCAACAGAAGCUAACCUUUUGAAAGGGCAACCUCUCAGUUUGGAGGGACAACAUUGAGCUGAAUAGAGACUGUCAUUAAAGCUCUGUCUACUUCAGUGAGGAAGCUAAAUGCUACCAAGUGCUGGCUCAAGUUUCUUAACUACGGUCAGUUUGGAAACUUAAGGAUGUUUACAAAUGUAAUGUUCUUAAAAGUUUUAAGGUGUUUAAUUUUUUUUUCUUUCUACAUUUGCCUUUUUGAAUCGUUUUGUUUGGCCAGAGUUGAAAAAUCUCCCAGUCAAACAAAAAAUUAUAAAUACUUCUCUGCAGAUGGGAUAUAGGCUUCAACAAAUUAUCUCAGGUCAGUAAGUUAUUCAGAAAUUAUAGCCUCAAUUCUUCAUCUUGUUAUUUACAGAUGUGACUAGGCCUAAUUGUGGCUGUUAUUGGUACUUGAUUACAUUUCAUUGCAUUCAUUCAGUACUACAGCACAGAUUAUUUUUGUACCUCUGGCUGAAGUUGCUGUUACAGUGAAUGGCUGUUCAGUCUUGCUGAGAUCUAUACUAUUUUUGGCAUGAGUCUUUUAGCAUCAUUGUAUUCAGAUGGUCAGAAAUGGUGUGCAUGCAUGCUUGUUCCCAUUCCCUAUUAGUUUUCACAAUUGGUGUCUGAAUUGUUAAUAUAAUAUUAAACAGGUGGCAGUUUUAGGAUUAACUCCUCUGUCAUGUCCUAUGUGCAGACACGUGAGAGGUACAGAUACACACCAGAAGCCUCUUGCUUAAUUGUAUUUUUUUGUUUUUACAUAUUUACACAUAUUGCCCAUCAAUGUUACACAUAAAUGAAUGCCAGUCAUAUUCAAGCCAUUGACAAAUGAGUUGACU